rnacentral:rRNA from 1 species
UUCCAUAUAUUAUUUUUUAUGGUAGUACCUGCUCUAUGUAUUUAUGUAUAAAUGGCCGCAGUAUCUUGACUGUGCAAAGGUAGCAUAAUUAAUUGCCUUAUAAUUGAAGGCUUGUUUGAAUGGUUUGACGAGGUAAAAACAAAUAUCUUUUUUAUAGUUGAAAUUGUUAUAGAGGGCACAGAAUCCUCUACUAUUAAUUAGACGGAAAGACCCCAGGAUCUUUUAAUUUUGUCUGGGGCAGAUGAAAAUUAUUCAUUUUUAUUAUGACCCUCUAUGGUUUAAUGAUUUAAGUUACCCUGGGGAUAACAGUGUAAUAGUUUAUAAGAGGCCUUAUCGAAUAAACUGUUUGCUACCUCGAUGUUGACUUAGGUAAAUAUUCUGGGCGCAGUAGUCUAGAAUCUUGGUCUGUUCGACCUAAUAUACCUCC